GUCUGUGCUUCUGGAGGAAUUUAACAAGGUGUUGCAUGUUUUUAAUGAGGAAGGCCUUUUAGACUUCUUUCAUAAGCAUCAAUCAGUUUUCAAAAGCUAUGACAGUGCCAUCAUGUUGCAUAGCAGCUCUCAGCAACAACGACAGACCGGCGGGGCAGAAGAGUAGGAGUACCACCUGAGCCCAUGGAGAUAAGCAGCAUUGAAAAGGAGGUAAUCAAGAAGACUCCUCCCUCUCUUUUAUACUACCCACACAGGAUAGUGGACCUGCCUGGUCUUGGGAGUAGGCUGAAGGCCCCAAACAGGAAGAAUCUUUUAACCCCGACCUCUUUACUACGGACACUUUUUGUUUCAUGCGUCCACGUCCACUGGGUCGCUGAAGUGUAAGUGACCAAUUUGGGACGAUACAUUUUUUGAAUUUGGUGCAGCAUUGAGAUGGAAAGUGUUCCCUCUCAGUAGUGUUGGGGCACUCACCAUGUGUUGGAAAUAAGGUCUUUUUAUGAAGAUUAAACCAAGACCGUAACCACACCUGCGGGGGAUUUUUAGUCCCAAACUCGGCACCGAUUUGUCAUUGGAAGAGGGCCACAGACCCAACGGGGGAUGCUCGCGUUAAGGCCUCGACGUCACUGUGACUUUAAACAACAAGCCCACCUCCAGCGCCUUCAGUCUGACUCAAGUUGGUGGAGGCAGGUGAAGAAACAACGUUAGUUUUAUGGAAAACCAUGGUUGACAAUCUUUAACUCUGCUGAACAAUGGACCAGAUAAGCAAAUGGAGUUUUUCGUGGGGGGAGGUAUUUUUAGAUUCUCUUCCCACACAAGUCAACGCGGCAAAGCUUGGCGCAGCAGCGCCAAGUUUAAAAGGAAAGUUGAAGAAACGCGUCGACCGCCACUUCUCUGUUUAGGCUUUUGUCAGGGCAGAGAUUGGUCAGAUUCUGUUAAUAACUUUUUAAGUUUACCAUUACAAAGGCUUAUUGUGCAGGACCGCUAAACUACAUAAUUGCUCCAUAGAUAUUACUAUGGUGUACCAUGCUGCUGUUCUAGUGUUGUUUUGAUCGAUCACUCACCGUGAGGGAAAUUGGUUAGCGAGAUUGACAGUUAUGUUUAUAUAUGAUAGAAGUUUCCUCAUAAUUUUAGAUAGUGAGUUCAUGUGUACCGUGAUAAUCGGUAGACACGUAGCCUCUGCUCAAAUGCCAACCUUCAUUGUUCACUCGUAAUGUGGAAUAGUACUUUGACCGUUGACGUCAACGUCAAUGUGGUUAUUUAUUCCCAGGAUGGUGCCUCAUUAUUACUAUAAUUUGUUAAUCUGAUGUUUUUUUUAUAAUUAAAUGAUCAAAGAAAAAGUACGUAUGUAUAUAUGUUUUCUGUACAUGUAUAGCUUAGUUACAAAGAAUAAUUCACUUUGCUGUGUGAUAUUGAUGACAGCAGUGUAGAUAAAUGUCCUACAAAACCUCCUGUCAUUUGUUUUGCAUGGGAACAAAGGGUUUCUAUUGUCAUGCCAUUAGGGAGUUUCCCCCAUUGGAAAAAACAACUGUCAUCCCCCAAUGGUGUGUAUGUACUAAGGUUUGUUGAUGGUUCUGUGCAAAUUCCGAUAAUGCCGUGAACUACGGCGGUGAACUCGUAUUACUGAGGUUCAAAGACCAAUUGAACACAGAUCCAAACCCGCCACCGCUGUUUUUACAUAGCUCCAUCGUUUGGCUCCGCCCCUGCAGACGAAACCCGGGCCCGCAGGUCGGACCGGGAGCAAAAAACACUCUAAUGCCUUGUGGCUUCUCGUUGGCACAUUUUUCACCAUUAAGGUUUUGGAGGGAAACUCUAGAGUGCAUUCCUGGUAAUUAAUAAGGCAAGAGCAGGUUUCCAUUUGGAGUAUUUGAACAUGUUAUAAUAAUAAAGCUUGAACAUUGGGGUGGUGGUUGGCGUUGAGUUCUGCCUUGUUUUCUAUUUCAUAACUUUGGAAAAAUCGAGGGGACGGGUGUGACAGAAAAAAAGGAUUUGUGAUUUGUUUUCUCUAUUUUUCCACUUUUGCAAUCAAAUGAUAGGAGAAUAUCUCGUUCACAUACCUGACAAAAAUCCCUCUUAUUAGACUUCGAGUAAUUGUGUGUGUGAGAGAGAGAGUGACAAAGAGUCUGGUUGGUACAAAAUAACAUAUAAAAGCUUCUCUAUGACCUUUUCCAAAUGCUUCCCAAUAACUUCUCAAAUACACCACGUUACGACCAAACCAUUCUUUACUUAAUUGGAGUCGAGUCAUUGUAGUAGAUAGUUUUUCUUUCCUUGAAAUCCUUGGUAAAUGUUAAUAUUUUUUUCACUGAUUUCUCUUGAGAUUGCAUUCACUUCAAAUUCAAAUCUACAAGACCGGGUCAGUUUUAGUCAGGCUGUACUGUAAUAUGUCUUAUUCUGCGUUCAAAGCGAAGCCAAAUAUUCACACGAGUAGAUUCUUGCAAUGUCAUUGCACAGACGCGAAUGGUUGCAGAUGAAGCGAAUUUUUAACGGGCGGCGCAAAAUACCCAUGAAGUGAAGUGUACAUAAA
ensembl:lncRNA